AAUCGGUUCCCAUUGUCCCUCUCACUCUGGAUUCGAGUUCUACACAAGCAAAAAAACCCUUUGGUCAUCGGAUCGAGCCACGGGAACCAUUCGGCUCCUAACUUCUCCGAACUUUGAGAAGACUAGGAGUCAACGGCGGUGACAGAGGAGUUGGUGGAGGCAAACGGUAUGGGCGAUAGGACAAGUGUGGCUAGGGUUUUUCUUUUUUCUUUUCUUUUUUGUUUGUUGGUUUGGGCUAGGGUUAGGUUUUAGAUUGGGCUUUAGGGGUUAUAAAAUGGGCCAGGCAAAUUGGGCUUGUACACAUAUAAUAUAAAAGUUGGUGAUACAUAUAUUUAUGUUUUGUUAAUUUUUUAUAAUUAAUAUUUAAAAUAUUGUAUAAUUAAAUAAAA